rnacentral:antisense_RNA from 1 species
CGGGCGGUGUACUCCCAGAUGGCGUCCGGGUCGAGCAGCCCCUGGUCGCCGAGGUAGGCGCCGUCGGCGAGGACUCCGAGGACCUGGUCGUCGCCGUAGGGGCCGGUGCCGACCUUCUCGACCCUGCCGUGCGCGAGGAGGUAGACCUCAUCGGUCUGGCUGCCGAAGGGGGCGACCAGUUCGCCCGGCGCGUACUCCUGCUGGCGGCAGCGGGAGGCCAGUUCCGAGAGCACCUCCUCGUCCUCGUACGACCGCAGUGCGGGCAGUUCGCUCAGCUCCGCGGGGAUGACCUCGACGCGGUCGCCGGUCUUGAUGAAGGUGAUGCGGCCGUCACCGACGGCGUACGUCAGCCGCCGGUUCACCCGGUAUGUACCGCCCUGCACGUCGACCCAGGGCAGGUUCCGCAGCAACCAGCGCGAGCUGAUCGCCUGCAUCUGCGGUACGGACUUGGUGGUGGUGGCCAGGUUCCGCGCGGCCGCGGUGCCGAGGCUCUGCUGGGGCUUGCCCU